rnacentral:rRNA from 1 species
ACGCUCGACACCUACGGGAAGCAGCAGUGGGGAAUAUUGCACAAUGGGGGAAACCCUGAUGCAGCGACGCCGCGUGAGCGAAGAAGUAUUUCGGUAUGUAAAGCUCUAUCAGCAGGGAAGAAACUGACGGUACCUGACUAAGAAGCACCGGCUAAAUACGUGCCAGCAGCCGCGGUAAUCUGAGGCGGGCUGGCAAGGC